AACAAGUGCAAAUUAUUUUUUUAUCACUCAAUAUGUUUUGAACAUUUUCUGAUUGGUCAAAAACAAUUCGCCCGUAAUUCACUGCACUUUAAAUAUGGUAUUAUUUUUUUGCUUCAAAUCUGUUUGUAAUUUUUUUUCUCUCAAAUAUUAUGUUUAAAUGUCCACCAUUACGGGGGCUGGGGGCUCGUGGUACCCCUAGGGGUACAUGUACCCCAGGUUGAGAACCGCUGCUUUAGGUAAACAAGAAACAAUACUUCGUAAAACUGAUAAUUCCGUGAAAGAAAAUACUUGGUGGGACAAUUAUGCGUAGAAGUACAACGAUGGGACAAACAGACUUGGUGUUGUUUUCAAUGAGUUUACGAACAAAGUACUAGAUUUUAUAUGUUUUUCUCGAAAAGUAAACUAAACCUAAAAAUGACAAAAAGUCAGAAUCGACCAAAAAUGACAUGGGACAAUUAUACGUAGAACGGCAGUGUACUGUUAGUUAACCAUUUGCUCCACAGUUUUCAGUAGGUAAAGUUUACUCGGGCAGAACGUCAAACUGACAAGGCAAAAGAAAUUUCUUUCAAUACAAAUAUUCACAAACUUCCGAAAGCAAUAUAUUUUUGUUUAGUUGCAGUUCAUGAUGGUGCUGCCAGGAUUAAUCGGAUUUGCAUCGACCUUGGUGAUUGCGGCAGCUGCCAUCGCAACUGUUUGCUACACUGUCAAUUACAUCAAUAAUCGAUAUUUACACGAAGGGCAAGGUCCAAGCCGUCCGUCAUCAUCAGGCAACAACAAAUCGUCAAAGUCAUGGAAGGGAUACGACGAUUGGAAUGAAAUCUCCUGCACUAUUUGCCUAAAUGCCGUAAAUGGUUGGACCACGCGAAAACUGGCAUGCGGACACAUGUUCCAUAAUAAAUGCAUUGAAAGCUGGUUCACCCACACCCGAUGCUGCCCAAACUGUCGUACGGAUGUGUAAGCAAGGACAAUAGAAUCUGUUUUGCUGUGAUGACACUGAAGACUUCCGGAUAUACGUUCAGAAAUGCUUGUAAUCUGUGUAACAACAUUUUUAAGAUAAGCUUUUAACAUUUUUUGUUCGUUGAUAUUUUUAUCAAACUUAAUUUACCCAUUUGAAUGUAACGUAUACUAAGUCUUGGCAAACUUAAUGUAAUUUGAAACUCACAUAAGUCGGCAAUAAAAAAAACUAGAAUUGUAAAACUCA